rnacentral:lncRNA from 1 species
GCGGGGUCUCCGCUGCCUCAGGGACGGGUCUUUUGAAGUGCCUGGUGUGACCCAUCUUCCGUGCUUGAAAUCGACGUAGUGGACCCUGGCUAGCAUAUUUUUCCCUGCCAAGAUUAUUGCAAAAAGACGAUGUGGUGGUUAAUAUCGGAAAGAAUGUGUGGUUAAUAUCAGGAAGAACACGUGAAAUGGAGAAUUUCAGGGCUAACAUUUCUUGUUUUGUUUCUGAAAACAUCGGCAUGUCCUAAAAAGUGUCGCCUGUGCCCAUCAUCUCUCAGGCUUGGGAGCAGGACACCGCCGGCUCACUUUAAAGCCAAGGGAAAGAAUUUGGACAACCAACUACGUCUGGAGAAGACACCAAUGUCAGCAGAGCUCCGCUUUCAUCUGUGGGCGAAGGAUUACCUAGAUGCCAAGGCAAGAGACUGAAGACACAAACUGUUUCAGUAUAACAAAGAAAAUAGGCCGGGAGCGGUGGCUCACGCCUGUAAUCCCAGCACUUUGGGAGGCCGAGGCGGGUGGAUCACGAGCUACCUAAAAGGGAAGCGCCCCCUGUCCUAUGAUCACGUGACUUGCUUCACCUUGUCAAUCACUUGGAAGAUUCACCCUCCUUACCCUGCCCUCCUUGUCUUGUAUGCAAUAAAUAUCAGUGCGCCCAGCCAUUCGGGGCCACUACUGGUCUCCGUGUCUUGAUGGUAGUGGUCCCCCGGGCCCAGCUGUUCUCUCUUUA